UACGUAGGGGGCAAGCGUUGUCCGGAAUCAUUGGGCGUAAAGAGCGUGUAGGCGGCCCGGUAAGUCCGCUGUGAAAGUCAAGGGCUCAACCCUUGAAUGCCGGCGGAUACUGUCGGGCUAGAGUCCGGAAGAGGCGAGUGGAAUUCCUGGUGUAGCGGUGAAAUGCGCAGAUAUCAGGAGGAACAACUACGGCGAAGGCAGCUCGCUGGGACGGUACUGACGCUGAGACGCGAAAGCGUGGGGAGCAAACAGG
rnacentral:rRNA from 1 species